rnacentral:rRNA from 1 species
CGUGGUCGCUAGCCUUUACCGUGUAAAGCCCCUUUCGACGAGUCGAGUUGUUUGGGAAUGCAGCUCUAAAUGGGAGGUAAAUUUCUUCUAAAGCUAAAUACUGGCCAGAGACCGAUAGCGCACAAGUAGAGUGAUCGAAAGAUGAAAAGCACUUUGGAAAGAGAGUUAAAAAGCACGUGAAAUUGUUGAAAGGGAAGCGCUUGCAGCCAGACUUGCCUGUAGUUGCUCAUCCGGGUUUUUACCCGGUGCACUCUUCUAUAGGCAGGCCAGCAUCAGUUUGGGCGGUUGGAUAAAGGUCUCUGUCACGUACCUCCUCUCGGGGAGAACUUAUAGGGGAGACGUAAUGCAACCAGCCUGGACUGAGGUCCGCGGAUGCUG